rnacentral:rRNA from 1 species
CAGUAGCCACGGUAAAACGUAGGUAGCAAGCGUUGUCCGGAAUUAUUGGGCGUAAAGGGCUCGCAGGCGGUUUCUUAAGUCUGAUGUGAAAGCCCCCGGCUCAACCGGGGAGGGUCAUUGGAAACUGGGAAACUUGAGUGCAGAAGAGGAGAGUGGAAUUCCACGUGUAGCGGUGAAAUGCGUAGAGAUGUGGAGGAACACCAGUGGCGAAGGCGACUCUCUGGUCUGUAACUGACGCUGAGGAGCGAAAGCGUGGGGAGCGAACAGGAUUAGAUACCCCUGUAGUCCCUGUCUCUUAUAC